AUGUAUAUCUAAAAGUUUAAAUUGUAUGUUGUAUAAUAUAUUAUUUUGACAAUAAAUAAAAUUAAACUACCUAUCAUUAAAAAUGGAUGUGCCAACAAAUAACGGAAAAUAUUAUUAUUAUAUGUUUUAACAAACUUUAAAAAACACAGUUUUUAAACUAUAUUGAAAGUUUGUUUAGAUAUUGUAAAUCAUGAGUCAUGACCAUGCCUAUCAUUUUACCAAUCCAGAGCAUGGUAUUAUAAAUCAUGAUCAUGACUAUGUACUGAUGGAUUUGGUACACAAUGAUAAUGGUAUGUAUUCAAUCAUUUGAUGAAUACAAAAUAGUAUUUUUUUUAAAUAAAUAGAUUUUACUGGAGCCCAUCAAAAGUUAUAAUCCGGGUAUAUCUUUAUGUUAUUUUGUGUACUUCUUUCACUAAAAAUAUACUAUUUAUUAUUACAUGAAAUAGAACCCCAAAAGCUUACACAUGAAAUUUUUAAUUUUUUGAAAAAUCCCAAGACUUAUAAAAUAGUUUUUGGUACUCAAAGAAGAACAGAAAUCAUAUGGGAUAAUUUGAGCUUCCUUUAUUACAAAAAUAAAAAAACUGAGAACAAAAUAUAUUUGGUGUGUCUUGAGAAAAAAAACAGAAAAUUCAUAUCGAACAACUGAUCAUAUAUCUCCUGACCAAUAUGAUGACAAAUUGAUUUUAUGUAAACAAUAUAAUCAUAAAGCAAAGCCAAUCAAUGAGGAGGUACCAUUAUUGAGGCAUAAGUUGACAGAGAAGGCAUUAAAAAAAUCCGUUUGUUCAUAUUCCUCUAGAGGAAUAUACAUGGAAGAGAUUGUCAAUAUUCCAAAUGCUGCCCAAGACUUCAAGUUUUUACAAGGGUCUGAAAGGAUGCAUCAUCUGAGGCAAAAGUCAUUUCCUGCAACACCUGAUGAUAUUGAAGACCUUCAUAUUUUACUAAUGGCAAAUAGCCAAUUUACAUUAACACUAAAAAAUCCAUCAAAUAAAGCGUUCCAUUGGUGUAUGCAAUACUAUCAGGGAAGACCGAAGAAAUAUAUAUUGAGUUGUUGUCAUACAUCAGAAAUGUUUUACCAUUAACGUGCAUCCAACAUGAAUAUGAAUAUGAAUAUGGAUUGAUGAAUGCAAUAAAAACUAUAUUCCCUAAAAGCGAUCAACAAGAGUGUUAUUUCAUUUUGUUGAGGCAAUAAUAUGUUUCACGUGAAAUAAAAAAACUAGUAUAUACCACUUAAUUACUAAAAAUCCAAUUUCUGCCAGAGUGUUAAGAAUGGUAUUAGCUUUACCAUAUUUGCCUGCUGUAAAAACUGAUGAUAUCCCAUCAAUGGAGAAUGGAUUUCAAACAAUUUUUGAUUACAUAAACCAAUAUCCCAAUUUAAUAAUGUGUUUUGAGAAAUUUUUAUUUGAUUAUAUUUGGAGAUAUUGGUUUGAAACGAUGGGACCUACAGCAAUAACAGUUUUUAAGAGAGAUAUUCAAACAAAUAACUUUGUUGAAAGUUACGAUGCUUCAUUGUUAAGACUCAUCAAACCUUAUCCCAAAGUGUGGGAAUUCCUUAGUAGGAUUUAACUCUAACUAUUAAUUUUGUUCUAAAUGUAAACUAAUAGUGGCAGUUAAAUAUGCACCUAAUACAGUAUAUAAUUGUUAAUUAACAUGAAUAAUAUUUAAAUUUUUAUAGUCUUCUAUCCUAAGGUAUCAAUGUUUUAAUUGCAAGAUGUUCCAUGAUAAAGACUAAGUGUAUUUUAACCAAAAUUAUAUUAAUAUGUUUAUUGUAUUAAUUUGUUACCUAACCAAAGGAUGUACAUUGUACAGUGUAUGUGAUAUAAGUAAGUCUAAAAUCAUAAUUGUAAAUGUAUUUUUUUUUUUAGAUUGUUUUUGUGAGUAAAUUACUAAUAAUUUUGUUAAGUAUAGACAGUAUAGUGUAGUGGUUUUCAAACUUUUAUUAUACACGGUACACCUGUAUACUUCAAAAAAUUUUCACGGCACACUGACCUUUUUUUAGAUGAACAAAAUUGUUUUGAAUUUAUAAUUAAUUUAAUUUCUUAUAUCACAAUUCAAUGCAAUCAGUAAUUCAUGGAAAAACUAUGGCACCCAGUUUGAAAACCACUGGUAUAGUAUAUGAAUCAGCAAUUUUUAUAUUGCAAGAUGUUCCACAAUAACAGCAGUGUAUUUAAAGCAAAAUUAUACUUAUAUGUUUUUUGUAUUAAUUUGUUACCUAACCUAAGGUAUAAGUGAGUCUAUAAUUGUGUUUAAAAGUGUAUUAUUUUUAUUAUUUUAUAUUUAUUGUGAUGAAAUGGCAAUUAUUUAAUCUAAUUGAUUCUUAAAUUCUUUACUUUUUUUAUAGAUCAACUACUGUUAUUAGAAAAUCAGUCAUUUGUUGAAUUUAGACAACAAAAUUUGAAGAUUCGAAAUGGAGGCCCAACGCAAGAAAGAACAGCUAAUACUGAAGCAAUUAAAGAUUUUUUGGUAGAUUACACUCAAGAUCUAAAUUCAGAUCGCCAUCUAUCUGUUUUGAGAUAUGCAGGACACAGAGUAGAUAAUUAUAUUAUACAAAAGAUAAGUUUAGGUUCUUAUCUAAGUACCUACAGAGGUUUAAUAUUUUAGAGUUGUUGGUUCACAGUUAAUACCAUUUGGCAUCCACCCACCUACCUAUUACAAUAACUUCCCUAAUUUUACAAUAUUUUUGACAAUUAUUAUUUUAUUAUUAUUAUAUACAUUUUUACUUACUAACUAAAUUAAAUAGAUACUAAAAAACAUGUUUACCAGCCCCUUUAAAUUUCAUUUUACAAAAAUUAACAUAAUUUAAUAUUAUAAAAAAAACACACACACACACAUCAUUGUAAAAUCAUAUUUCAAUUCACUUCGUUCAGAAUCUAAUAAUACAAAAUGACAUGGCCCAAUAAUAUGAAGCAAAAUAAAAUUUAAUUUUGAAUAAUAUAGGAACUUAGCUAAAUUAACAAAAUACAGAAUAGUUUACGAGCUUACCCUACUGUAUUACACCUAACCUAACCAUACAAAACUUUCGCAACUCGCAAGUUAACUGAAAUCCGAGUCUCGAGAUCAGUGAAUAUUGAAUUAUUGAAUAAAAUGAUAAAUAAGAAUGCCAAUAGGUUAUUGUUUUUAGGAAUUUGUUUUAAUUUUAGAUUUUAGAAAUAAAACAAUGAAAUAAUUAAUAAUUAUUUAUUAUUGUUGUUACUUGUUGUGCGUACAACAAUAUUACGUUACUUUUCCUUCUUAAAACACACACACAUAUAAACACUCAAGUAUAUACAAUAUAUAUACAUGCACGUACCGGCAUAGUUCUGAAAAUACUAUGUAAGUAUUACAAUAAAUUUAUUGUAUAAUAAAUUUUAAUUUAAAAUUAGGUUUAUUUAAAAUUCAAGUUUAUUCGCCUGGUCCCAAAUGCUCACGUAAUUUUGACAUCUCUAUAUAAAAUGAAUAGUAUAUGAAUUACGAACUACUUAGGUGCUACGACUACGACGAAGACAAUACUUCAAAAGCAAAUAAAAUGUAUUUAUUAUAGUAAUUUUAUUUAAAUACCUAAGCUUUAUUUUUACGUAAGUAGAUCUGACAUUAAUAAUAAUUUUUUUUUAAAUUUUAUAAAGGUAUUCAAAAUUAUUGAUAUUGAGAAAAAAACAUAGGAGGUAGGUACCUUCACAAAAAUAUCUGAAUUUAUUCUAAAUGGUACAGUAUCAUACACUAAACACAGCAUAUUAUUUUAAUUACAAUAUUAUUCUGUAU